CGAGACUCCGUCUCAAAAAAAAAAAAAAAAAAAAAUGUCAUGAAUGCCAUGAGGAUUCUCCACUCUGCCUUCCCAGGAUGGCUUAAUUCUCAGGCACCUUCUCCCUGUGUCGCAGCAAAGAUGGCCCCUGAGCUUCAUUCUGUCAGUUUAGAAAUCUCAGCAGAGGCCAAGCACGGGUGGCUUACGCCUAUAAUCCCAGCACUGUGGGAGUCCGAGGCGGGUGGAUCAGUUGAGACCAGGAGUUUGAGACCAGCCCG
rnacentral:lncRNA from 10 species